rnacentral:rRNA from 1 species
AAGUGUGUUGUUUCAAAGCUCGUCCUUGUGGCGUGGCUCGAGAUGCUACUUCUUUUAUUUGGGUAGUGGUUCGUAAAAAAAGCCAUUCCCAAUCAUUUACUUUGAAAAAAUUAGAGUGUUCAAAGCAGGCGUAACCUUGCCAUUGAAUAUUACAGCAUGGGAUAAUAGAAUAUGACGUUGGUCUUAUUUUGUUGGUUUCUAAGGCUGAUGUA